rnacentral:rRNA from 1 species
AUGGUGCAGCGUUUUCUGCAGAGCACGUCCAAGAUGGCGAGCAGGACGAGGUACUACAUGGGGAGGAUCAAGUCUUUCGUUGUCCCCCUCGCCAACUACUCCCUCAACAGCAUCGCCUCUCCAGGUACACGUAUACCAAGCAGAGUGAACGUUCCGAAGACCAAGAAGACCUACUGCAAGAACAAGGAGUGCAAGAAGCACACCCUCCACAAGGCACUGCUUCAUUGCUGUUGCGUUGAAUCUCAUGCCACCGUUGAUUAUGAUCAUAAGCAUGGUGGUUUGAUGAUGCUGAGGCCAGCUGUUAAACCAUGA